UUUGGGGUAAAUAAAAAUAAAAUUAUUUUAAACUAAACUGAUCUUUAUAAAACUAAAUGAAAAAGGUACUCUAGGGAUAACAGCGUUAUAAUUAUUAAAGCCCAUAUUAAAAUAAUUGUUUGCGACCUCGAUG
rnacentral:rRNA from 1 species